rfam:Schistosoma haematobium scaffold242_6, whole genome shotgun sequence.
AUUUAGCUGAUAAGUCCCAUACAGAACGAAACGCGCGUCCUGGAU